GUCUCAGCCCCUCCUUCCCGUCCGACGUCGGGCUGCUGGUCCUCGCCUUGUCCUCGGCCUCAGUUUCCCUCUCGGUGGAAUAGGGAGGAGUCCCCACCGCGGUCUUGGUGCCAGCAGUUGGGGACAACCUACAUCGUCAGCGCGAGCGCCUGCGAGGGUCGUUGAUCGCGCCUGGACCCUCAGCGCCCAGCGCGAUGCGGGCGAUUAGGAAGUGCAAGGAGUGAGAAAUCAGCUGCAGCAGGCUAAGCUGAUUUCCAACCUCCUGAGAUUGAAUCCCAGACUCGAAUUCUUUAAGUGUGUUUUGUUUGGGUCAACCCGGAGACCCCGCCCAAUUAUCUUCUUGCUGUCUGGUGGCAAAUCUUGGUUCAAAAACAAACCCUCCUGGUGUUGGCCUGCGCUGCCAGUUGGCCUUGAGGAGUCCGGGAGAGGAAAACCAUGCACUCUAAGCGAGGCGUCUUGAUUCUGGGUGUAAUUUUGCCUUCAUUCUUGCGCUUGGUGCCCGGCCUGAACCUGAGAGGAGCAGAUCUUCAUCACUCAGCGACCUCAGUGCCUGGCCCCAUGCUCCCGCACAUAGAUAUGUUUCUCGGAUGGACACAGAGCAGUUGCUCAUUCCAUCUUAAGUGGUCAGGAUGCCAGCGACAGUGGGGACAGAUAGUGAACAAUCCCAGCCAUCCUUGCCCUUCGAGGUCUCACAGUUCAGCUGCAACUGAUUCAAGUGAAAUCCACAGGUCUCCACACUAUGAGGGGACCUGACCACAAGAAACCUUAACCCGUGAGGACUUUCUCAUUUGUUUUUCUGCUCCCCUGUGUUUUCAUGGACAAGCACGUUGCUCCCAGUGAGAACUCUGACUUAGGAUUCCCACAUUUGGAUGGUAAAUAAUAGUAUCUCCUUUCUGAGGUUGUUAUGGAAAUUAAAUGAGGUAUAUUCUCAAUACACAUUAGCAAUCACUACUAGGAAUCAAGAGGCUUCCCAGAUGGCAUUAGUGGUAAAGGACUUGCCUACCAAUGCAGGAGACAUAAGAGACACAGGUUUGAUCCCUGGGUCAGGAAGAUCCGUGGGAGGAGAGGGUGAGGGAACAGCAACCCACUCCAGUAUUCAUGCCUGGAGAAUCCCAUGGACAGAGCCCUGGCAGGCUACAAUCUAUAGGGUCACAGAAGUCAGACACGACCGAAGCAACUUGGCACAUAUGUACACCCACAGCAGGUAGCAUUAAGCCUGACCCGCUGCUUUUCAAUUCCAGGACCCAGUUGGUGUCCCCUUAGCUGCAAACAAACCCUUAAAUUUGGCACCUGCAAACCCAACAAGAAUGAGGAACUCUAUAUAUAAUUUUGGUGGAGUCGACCCAACCAGAAACCCUCAAUUCUCAGCCAGACCAGUUCUUUCUCUGAAUGAGAUGCUUUACUUUCAUUAUAUUCACAAUAACCCUGAGGGUGGGUCCUAUGAUUAUUCCCAUUUUGCAGAGAAAGAAACUGAGGCAGAGAUUAAGUGACAUGGCCAAGGUCUUAGAAGAUAGAAAGAGG
ensembl:lncRNA